rnacentral:tRNA from 1 species
AUGGGUGUGGCUUAAGGAAGGCCCUUGCAUUAUCAUAAGGAGAUAUAGGUUCAAAUCCUGACACCCAUC